UCUUGCUUCUUACAAUUAUCUCAAUUUAUAAUGAACUUGGCCCAUUAGUAAAAGAGGAAAAUAUUUUGUUAAAAUUUACAAAAAUUUACAAAAUUUACAAAAUUAUUAAAAAUUGACUAUAAAGGGCAAUAACUCCUUAAAGGGACAACUGACCUUUUUGGUCAUGUUGACUUAUUUGUGGAUCUUACUUUGCUGAACAUUAUUGCUGUUUACAGUUUAUCUCUAUCUAUAAUAAUAUUCAAGAU
rnacentral:lncRNA from 1 species